GUGGCGAACGGGUGAGUAACACGUGGGCAACCUGCCCUGCACUCUGGGAUAACUUCGGGAAACCGGAGCUAAUACCGGAUAAUAUCCUCUUCCGCAUGGUGGGGGGUUGAAAGUUCCGGCGGUGCAGGAUGGGCCCGCGGCCUAUCAGCUUGUUGGUGGGGUAGUGGCCUACCAAGGCGACGACGGGUAGCCGGCCUGAGAGGGCGACCGGCCACACUGGGACUGAGACACGGCCCAGACUCCUACGGGAGGCAGCAGUGGGGAAUAUUGCGCAAUGGGCGAAAGCCUGACGCAGCGACGCCGCGUGAGGGAUGACGGCCUUCGGGUUGUAAACCUCUUUCAGCAGGGAAGAAGCGAGAGUGACGGUACCUGCAGAAGAAGCACCGGCUAACUACGUGCCAGCAGCCGCGGUAAUACGUAGGGUGCGAGCGUUGUCCGGAAUUAUUGGGCGUAAAGAGCUCGUAGGCGGCUUGUCGCGUCGGAUGUGAAAACCCGGGGCUUAACCCCGGGCCUGCAUUCGAUACGGGCAGGCUGGAGUUCGGCAGGGGAGACUGGAAUUCCUGGUGUAGCGGUGAAAUGCGCAGAUAUCAGGAGGAACACCGGUGGCGAAGGCGGGUCUCUGGGCCGAUACUGACGCUGAGGAGCGAAAGCGUGGGGAGCGAACAGGAUUAGAUACCCUGGUAGUCCACGCCGUAAACGUUG
rnacentral:rRNA from 1 species